AACGAACGCUGGCGGCAGGCCUAACACAUGCAAGUCGAACGGGAUCUUCGGAUCUAGUGGCGGACGGGUGAGUAACGCGUGGGAACGUGCCCUUUGGUUCGGAAUAGCCCUGGGAAACUGGGAGUAAUACCGGAUGUGGUCGAGAGACGAAAGAUUUAUCGCCAAAGGAUCGGCCCGCGUUGGAUUAGGUAGUUGGUGGGGUAAUGGCCUACCAAGCCGACGAUCCAUAGCUGGUUUGAGAGGAUGAUCAGCCACACUGGGACUGAGACACGGCCCAGACUCCUACGGGAGGCAGCAGUGGGGAAUCUUAGACAAUGGGGGAAACCCUGAUCUAGCCAUGCCGCGUGAGCGAUGAAGGCCUUAGGGUUGUAAAGCUCUUUCGUGGGGGAAGAUAAUGACUGUACCCCAAGAAGAAGCCCCGGCUAACUCCGUGCCAGCCGCCGCCGUAA
rnacentral:rRNA from 1 species